UACGGAGGGUGCAAGCGUUAUCCGGAUUCACUGGGUUUAAAGGGUGCGUAGGUGGGUUGAUAAGUCAGUGGUGAAAUCCCCGAGCUUAACUUGGGAACUGCCAUUGAUACUAUUGAUCUUGAAUAUCGUGGAGGUGAGCGGAAUAUGUCAUGUAGCGGUGAAAUGCUUAGAUAUGACAUAGAACACCCAUUGCGAAGGCAGCUCACUACACGAUAAUUGACGCUGAGGCACGAAAGCGUGGGGAGCAAACAGG
rnacentral:rRNA from 1 species